rnacentral:rRNA from 1 species
CCUACGGGUGGCAGCAGUGAGGAAUAUUGGUCAAUGGGCGGAAGCCUGAACCAGCCAAGUCGCGUGAGGGAAUAAGGCCCUACGGGUCGUAAACCUCUUUUGCCGGGGAGCAAGGGCGGGGACGUGUCCCGGCCCGGAGAGUACCCGGAGAAAAAGCAUCGGCUAACUCCGUGCCAGCAGCCGCGGUAAUACGGAGGAUGCGAGCGUUAUCCGGAUUUAUUGGGGUUAAAGGGUGCGUCGGCGGCCGUUUAAGUCAGCGGGGAAAGUCUGUGGCCAAACCAUAGAAUUGCCGUUGAAACUGGGAGGCUUGAGUAUGUUUGAGGCAGGCGGAAUGCGUGGUGUAGCGGUGAAAUGCUUAGAGAUCACGCAGAACCCCGAUUGCGAAGGCAGCCUGCCAAGCCAUGACUGACGCUGAUGCACGAAAGCGUGGGGAUCAAACAGGAUUAGAUACCCCUGUAGUC